rnacentral:misc_RNA from 1 species
AACGCACCUUGCACCCUCGGGUAUUCCCGAGGGUAUGUCUGUCUGAGUGUCAUUUGAACUCUCAAGGCCUCCUUCCCUCCGCAGGGUCGGGGCGCUUUGGAUCGUGGGCGCUUGCCGGCCUGGCCGGCUCGCCUCAAAUUGAAGGUGGCUGUCUCCUCUUGGAGCCUGUCAUCAGGUUUGACCCGGAGUGAUAGAAGUCUUUCGAGAUCUCUGGGGACUGCCUUAGGGCGGCCUAGGUCUAGGACUCUUUUGACGUUUUCGACCUCAGAUCAGGCAGGACUACCCGCUGAACUUAA